rnacentral:tRNA from 1 species
UCAAAAUGUAGCUUAUUUAUAAAGCUAAUUAGUUACAUUAAUAUGAAAGUAUAUUACUCUUUUUGA